UAAUGAGGGAAGGAAAAGAAACUAACUAGGAUUUUCUUAGUAGCGGCGAGCGAAAAGAAAAUAGUUCAGCACUGAGUUAUUUUGUUUUUAUAACAAAUAUAAGAUGCAGUGUAUGGAAUAUCUAUAAUCUAGUAUGAUAAAUUAACAGUCCAAGUCCUUCUUAAAUGAGGCCAUUCACCCAUAGAGGGUGCCAGGCCCGUAGUGACGUUAAUGAUUACUAGAAGAUAUUUCUUAAGAGUCGUGUUGCUUGAUAGUGCAGCACUAAUUGGGUGGUAAACUCCAUCUAAAACUAAAUAUAACCAUGAGACCGAUAGCAAACAAGUACCGUGAGGGAAAGUUGAAAAGAACUCUGAAUAGAGAGUUAAAUAGUACGUGAAACUGCUUAGAGGUUAAGCCCGAUGAACCUGAAUAUCUAAUAUGAAAAAUUCAUCAUUAAUAAUAUAUUAUUAUUAUAAAAUAUAUAAAUAAUGUGCAAUUUUUUCAUAUAAAGACAUUGUAAUCUGUUAAUAUAAAAAUAUAUAUAAAAAUUUAUCAUAAGUAUCGUUUAUGAAUAAGCUUAUAUUUAAUAUAAUAUUAUUAUUAUAUAUAAUAUAAUAAAAUUCAUUUAAAUACGAUUACAGAUAAAUUAUUGACAGAUUUUAAUAUUAUAUAACGCUAACAUAAUUUAUGUUAUAAUGAAAUUAUUAAUUAUAUAAUUAUAAUUUUUAUUAUAUGCGUUUAUAUGAUUAACAAUGCUAUAGAUUUAGGAUACCUUCGGGACCCGUCUUGAAACACGGACCAAGGAGUCUAACAUGUGCGCAAGUCAUUGGGUAUAAUUAAUAAAAACCUAAAGGCGUAAUUAACUUAAAUGUUAUAUAUAAUGGGAUCAAUUAUAUAAAUAUUUUUAAUAUUUAUAUAUUCCAUCCCGGGGCGUUCUAUAUAGUUAUGUAUUUUAAUAAAUUUUUAUAAAUUUAUUAUUUAUACCUCUAACUAGAGCGUACUUUGAGCAUACAUGUUGUGACCCGAAAGAUGGUGAACUAUACCUGAUCAGGUUGAAGUCAGGGGAAACCCUGAUGGAGGACCGAAACAGUUCUGACGUGCAAAUCGAUUGUCAGAAUUGGGUAUAGGGGCGAAAGACCAAUCGAACCAUCUAGUAGCUGGUUCCCUCCGAAGUUUCCCUCAGGAUAGCUGGUGCAAUUAAAUAUUAUUUUAAAUAAUCUUAUCUGGUAAAGCGAAUGAUUAGAGGCCUUAGGGCCGAAACGACCUUAACCUAUUCUCAAACUUUAAAUGGGUAAGAACCUAACCUUUCUUGAUAUGAAGGUAUAGGUUAUGAUAUAUUGUGCCCAGUGGGCCAUUUUUGGUAAGCAGAACUGGCGCUGUGGGAUGAACCAAACGUGAUGUUAAGGUGCCUAAAUUAACAACUCAUACUGAUACCAUGAAAGGCGUUGCUUGCUUAAAACAGCAGGACGGUGGACAUGGAAGUCGUAAUCCGCUAAGGAGUGUGUAACAACUCACCUGCCGAAGCAACUAGCCCUUAAAAUGGAUGGCGCUCAAGUUGUAUACCUAUACAUCACCGUUAAAAUAUAUGAUUUAUAUAUAUUUAUAAAAUAUAUAUAAAUUUUGAAACUUUAAUGAGUAGGAGGGUACAAUGGUAUGCGUAGAAGUGUUUGGCGUAAGCCUGCAUGGAGCUGCCAUUGGUACAGAUCUUGGUGGUAGUAGCAAAUAAUCGAAUGAGACCUUGGAGGACUGAAGUGGAGAAGGGUUUCGUGUGAACAGUGGUUGAUCACGAGUUAGUCGGUCCUAAGUUCAAGGCGAAAGCCGAAAAAUGAUAAGUUAUAUUUAAUUAUUUUAUAUAUAUUUAUUUUUUUAUAUUAUUAUUAUUAAAAUUAAUUAAUAUACACUUAUAAUUUUAUGAACGAAAGGGAAUACGGUUCCAAUUCCGUAACCUGUUGAGUAUACGUUUGUUAUUAAAAAUGGGCUUUUAUGCUCAUCCUGGCAACAGAAACAACCAUAAAGAAGCCGUCGAGAAAUAUCGAAAGAGUUUUCUUUUCUGUUUCAUAGUCGUACUACCAUGGAAGUCUUUCGAAGAGAGAUAUGGUAGAUGGGCUAGAAGAGCAUGGCAUUUACUGCUGUGUCGAUAUUUUCUCCUCGGACCUUGAAAAUUUAUGGUGGGGUCACGCAAACUUUCUUAACAGGCCGUACCGAUAUCCGCAGCUGGUCUCCAGAGGUGAAGAGUCUCUAGUCGAUAGAAUA
rnacentral:rRNA from 1 species